AGUCCCGUGGUGUAGUGGCCAAUCAUAACGGCCUUUGGAGCCGUUGACGGCGGUUCGAAUCCGCCCGGGACUA
rfam:Haloquadratum walsbyi DSM 16790 complete genome